AUGGUCUCUCCUGUCGUCGGCACCGUAGGCGGCGAGGUUGGUGGCGUCCCGGACGUCGGGGGAGUUGUCACUCCCGCCAUCGGCAUCGUGACUCCCGUCAUCGGCGGCUCCCCGUCCCCCAAGACCCGGCACGGCGGACGCAAGGCGUGCCCUCCCUCACCCCCGACCCCCACACCGUCUCCCCCGACGCCCACGCCAAGCCCCACGCCCUCCUCCGACACGUGCCCGAUCGACAUGCUGAAGCUGGGCGUGUGCCUGGACCUGCUCGGCAACGAGCUGCACAUCAGCGACGCCAGCGUCAAGUGCUGCCCUCUCGUGCAGGGCAUCGCCGAGAUGCUCACCGCCGCGGCGUGCCUCUGCACCGCCAUCAAGGCCAAGGUGCUCAACCUCGCCCUCUACGUGCCGCUUGCCCUCCAGCUGCUCGUCAACGACUGCGGCUGCGCCAUGCCCCCGGGCUACACCUGCGCCUGA
rnacentral:rRNA from 1 species